rnacentral:rRNA from 14 species
GAUGACAUGAGUAGCGACAAAGAGUGUGAGAGACACUCUCGCCGAAAGUCCAAGGGUUCCUGCGCAAUGCUAAUCAGCGCAGGGUAAGCCGGCCCCUAAGGCGAGGCCGAAAGGCGUAGUCGAUGGGAACCAGGUUAAUAUUCCUGGGCCAGCGGGUAGUGACGGAUGCCGGACUUUGUUCACCCUUAAUGGAUUGGGUGGGCAAUAAAGGUGUCCCUGGAAAUAGCUCCCGCAUGAGACCGUACCCCAAACCGACACAGGUGGACAGGUAGAGCAUA